GACGGGGGAUGCAAGUGUUAUCCGGAAUAAUUGGGCGUAAAGCGUCUGUAGGUGGUUUACCAAGUCUGUUGUUAAAAAUCAGGGCUUAACCCUGAUCCGGCAACAGAAACUAGUAGGCUGGAGUACGGUAGGGGCAGAGGGAAUUCUCGGUGUAGUGGUGAAAUACGUAGAUAUCGAGAAGAACACCAAUAGCGAAAGCACUCUGCUGGGCCGAAACUGACAUUGAGAGACGAAAGCUAGGGGAGCGAAGUG
rnacentral:rRNA from 1 species